GAAAGAACUUCCACCGCUACUGCUGUGUGCUGUGUAUGGUAUACGCUCUCCUGCAAGUUUAUCUUUACUAUCAUCAUGUACAGUAACUUUGUAUGUAUCUCUGCACUCUCGUCUACGUACGUGCAUAUACUACUACUAGUAGUGAUCCCAAGUCGCCGACUGUUAAUCCAUGAGUUAGCAGGAGCUGGGUUUGAAGCCAACGGAGGUGCCGUCGAUGCGCACCUCGAACGAGCGCUGCUGCACGUUGCCGAGGAUGGCCAUGCCACCGUCACUGCCGCUGGGUGCGAACGCGAGGCACCCGAACGACAGGAUCCCGUCGGCGCCCAGCGUGACGGUCGCGCCGCUGCCGAAGGUGAGCGCCACGUUCGGGAGCGUCACGGUGCCGUACCCGGCGAAGUUGUAGCAGGUGUCCAGGAUCCCGUUCGACGGCGCUGUCGGGUACCCGUACGAGGCCAUGCCGCUGCGGAACGCGGACCGCAGCGCCGCGUACGCGGUCGGGGGCAAGCGGGUGACGACCGUGCCGGUGUCCACCACCGUCCCGCCCGCGAACGCCGACGCGGGCACGCUGAGCUGCUGCCCGCCGACGCUGAUCCCCGUCAGCAUGACGACGUAGUAGGUCGGCGCGUUCGGCGACGGCAGCAGCUGCGUCGUGGAGAAGCCCGGCGCGGCGCCCGACGGCCCGCCCACGCCCAGCGUGAGGUACCCCGCGGUGGACGGCUUCGUCGGGAGGCAGUAGGAGAAGACCCCGCCGUAGGUGCCCGCCGUCUGCUCCACGAGCGACGGCUGCUCGCGGCCGAGGCCCAGGAGCCCGUCGACGCCGUUGAACAGCCCGCUCUGCGCGUGCCCGCAGCCGAAGAAGAAGCCCUGCACCGCGCUGCUCGCCGACAGGGUCAGCGUGUCGGAGCUGUACACGCCCGUGGUGUUGGACCCGUCGCCGUAGCUGACCACGUACCCGCACUGCGCCGCCGAGCAGGCGGACGCGGCGUAGAUGCCCAGCCCCGCGCACACGGGGCCCCCGCACGGCACGGCGGCGUAGGACGACGACUGGGCGGGGUCGAAGAGCGGGUCCUUCUGGCUGUAGCACGACGGCGCCGCGGCGCACGGCUUGCACUGCACCCACGACAGGUCGCUGCCGGUGUCCACCUCCAUGGUCUGCGCCACGCCCGGCGUGCCGAGGCUCGCCGUCACCACGUAGUUGAGCGUGCCGAUGUCGUACCCCCAGCUCGCCGGCACCGUCGCCACCGCCGCCGCCGCCUUGGAGUCCCACAGCUGAGGCGCGCGCCCCGACACCCUCCUCAGUAUGUACUCCGCCCGGCGCUGGUCCGCGCGCAGCGUGUCAGCCACCGACGGGGCCGCUAGCGAGGACGCCCGCGAGGGGGCGCACGGCCCGUGCCUGUGCGUCAGCCGCAGCACGGCGGACGUGCCGUUCCGCCGGUGCGGCGGAACUGAAACAAACACCGAAUUCCAGUUCCAGCCAGCGAAUCAAUCAGCUACAUCGGAAUCGAAGCUCCCAACAAACACAAACAACUCUAUGGGAAAGAGGAACUGAAGCAGCCGACGAUCAGACCCGCGUACCUCGGUCGGGGGAGCUGCACGUUGAGGACGGCACGAAGCUGGCGGCGGAGACGGCGACGUAGCCGGGCGCCACCGCGGCGGCAUGGGAGCAGGGCAAGAAACCGAGCGCUCCGGCGCAGAGGAGUGACGAGAGGAGUACGACGCGGCGCACGGCCGGGGAGCUCAUGGCGCCUUGGUUCGGC
rnacentral:misc_RNA from 1 species